GCCUCUUUGAAGAUGGAUAAGAGUGAUGCUGUCUCACACACAGGAAACUACACUUGUGAAGUAACAGAAUUAACCAGAGAAGGUGAAACGAUCAUCGAGCUAAAAUAUCGUGUUGUUUCAUGGUUUUCUCCAAAUGAAAAUAUUCUUAUUGUUAUUUUCCCAAUUUUUGCUAUACUCCUGUUCUGGGGACAGUUUGGUAUUAAAACACUUAAAUAUAGAUCCGGUGGUAUGGAUGAGAAAACAAUUGCUUUACUUGUUGCUGGACUAGUGAUCACUGUCAUUGUCAUUGUUGGAGCCAUUCUUUUCGUCCCAGGUGAAUAUUCAUUAAAGAAUGCUACUGGCCUUGGUUUAAUUGUGACUUCUACAGGGAUAUUAAUAUUACUUCACUACUAUGUGUUUAGUACAGCGAUUGGAUUAACCUCCUUCGUCAUUGCCAUAUUGGUUAUUCAGGUGAUAGCCUAUAUCCUCGCUGUGGUUGGACUGAGUCUCUGUAUUGCGGCGUGUAUACCAAUGCAUGGCCCUCUUCUGAUUUCAGGUUUGAGUAUCUUAGCUCUAGCACAAUUACUUGGACUAGUUUAUAUGAAAUUUGUGGAAUAACUGAAGUGAAGUGAUGGACUCCGAUUUGGAGAGUAGUAAGACGUGAAAGGAAUACACUUGUGUUUAAGCACCAUGGCCUUGAUGAUUCACUGUUGGGGAGAAGAAACAAGAAAAGUAACUGGUUGUCACCUAUGAGACCCUUACGUGAUUGUUAGUUAAGUUUUUAUUCAAAGCAGCUGUAAUUUAGUUAAUAAAAUAAUUAUGAUCU
rnacentral:lncRNA from 1 species